AGGGGUCAAUCCUCACCUAGUAUUUUAGGAUGAGUUGUCCAGCGAUUUGAUCAAUGGGCCACCUAUGGCUUGAACUCACACCUACCUUCAUGUUAUGAUCACCAUUGAUCAUAAAGCAGGGGGCUGGACUCAAUGGCCUUAUAAGCCCCUUCCAACUCUAUGAUUCUAUGAUUCACAUACCUACUAAUUACCCAGCUGGAGAAAUGGGAUGCUACACACCUGGCAACCGUACCGAUAAUACCCCGCCCAUGCCACCAGUUUUAGAUCCGGGAAUGGGACUAGUACCACACAGCUGUUGUACCAGGACUGAAAUUUGAGAAGGAGCAAAGGAGGUUUCAGGAAGGUCUGCCACAUGCUGACUGGUGUAAUGGGAUUACGAGCCACUUCUGACCUUUUCUCCACUUCAAAAGAUACAGCAAACAUAUCUUUUUCCUGAAGGGCUUCAUUAGAACCUUCCUGCAUU